GGCAAGCCAAGCACUGCUCCCUGCCUUCCCAAGAAGCCUGAGUGAGCGUUUGGAAGGGCACAGCCCACUGAGGGCUCUGAGGAAGGCCAGCUUACCUCCUCUCCACCCCUCUCCUCCACUGACGUCCAGGCUGUAGCCAUUCCCAAGCAGGCAGUACCCCCUUUCCAGCAGCCUGGGCUUGUGCCACUUCUCUGCCUUCAGUGUUCUCCAAGCUUCCCCCUGGACCCGGGCCCUUUGUGUCCAUCACCACUGGGACAUUCGAUGGGGACCCAAACUCAGGACCCAAGUUGAAUUGAUCUCCUCAACUUAGGCCCACCUACCUGAGCUAAUGGCGGCACCCUCCCCCAACUGUACCCCCAGGACCUUUCUUCUUCCCCACUCCAGGAGCCAUGUAUCGCCAGGAGCCAUGUGUCAGCCACUGCCGUCUCACACAAACCUGCAACUGCCCAGUGGACCCUUCCUGGGCUCUCUGCUGCCAUCCUUUGCCGCAGCCUGUCUCCACAUUUCAGCAAGAAGACUCCAGUGCUGACACUGUCGCACGAAGAGCUCACCUGCUGGAGUCUUUCUGCCCAGGUCUGGCCCUUCGUCAGGUCAAGCAGAGAAGGAUGUUCUUCUGAUACAGGUUGCUGCUGGACCCUGAAGGACUUCCACCUAGGAGCUCCAUCUAAAGAGCAGAAACCCAUGGAAGAAUAGACAGUGGUUCAUCAGGCAGCUGGAAUUGAAGCCUGAGUCUGUUUCUUCCAGCUCAGAAGCCCCUGCGAACUGUGUACCCUCCCAGCACUUCCUGUUCUUCACCUCUAGUAAUAUGAGCAAACAAUUGAUGUGGCAUUUACCAUGUGCCAGACACCAUCACCCCCAAGACAGCCCUCUGAAGUAGAUACUCUGUUGCAAUAAAGAAACUGAGGCACAGUGGCAUUAUGUAACUUGCCCAUGGUGGAGCUGAAUUGGAACCCAGCAUCUGCUCCCGGGCUUGACUUAAGUUCUGCCUUCUGUAUAAUGGACACAAAUGAUGCCCUCUCUUAAGAGUGUUUUUUGGAUCAAAUGAGAAACCCUGACAAACUACCUUGUGCAGACGCUGGCAUACAGUAAGUGCUCAAUAAAUGCUGGUACUGCUCUCCAGCAGCCUUCCUGUAAGCAUGCUGAGGUCGCUGUGCCUAAAUCUCUCCCUUAGCCCCAGAAUGGCCAGCGCAGCUGUUCACCACAGGCUCAGGGGCUGCAUCCUGGAGAGCUCCUGUGGUUGUUUAUCCUGCCACUGGCCUUCCACCUCCUAGGGCCUCACAAACAGCCCCUGUGUGACCACUGGGCCAAGCACAAGGAAAGAGACCAUGGGACCCAAAGUCACCUCACAAGUUGGUGGCAGGUCUAAAACCUAUACAGCCUCAG